rnacentral:lncRNA from 1 species
AGAGGAGGAAGCUGAGCUCUGGCACAUGGAACUUGUCCAAGGUCACACAGCUGCAGGCACACUGGCACAGGGCCUGGCCAACCGUCUGUGGAGUUGAUCCAAACCAAUGCUGUGCUGGAAAUCACUCCUGGCUGCCCAAACGGAGGCCCGGUGCCUCUGGUCAUGUCCACAUCUCGUCCAGCGCUUCUGCUGCCUCACCAAGUCUGGAAAGAGCUGCUCUUAUCUCAGGCUACCCACUUCCACUCCGCGCCCCUGCCUGUCCCAUCUCUUGGAAUGAGCGCCAGCUUCCUGGGAGUGGAGUGUACCUCUUUCCCAAACAGGCCCUCUGUCUGGAACGCGCCUCUUCUCACUCCCUGAGUCAUCAAUAAAUCUGUCUCACUUUGUCCUGA